CGCCCGCGGACAAUGGCAGCCGUCCGCGCUCCGGCGGGUAAAGGAGGGGAGAGGAAAGGGGGGGGAAAAAAAGUCCUUCGUCCUCAGCGGGAGAGACUUUAAGCGCGGCCCCUCGCUGCCCCGGGGCGAGUGUCGGUGGCCCACGCUCACCCAAACGCGAGGGCAGCCUUACCGCCUCCCUUUGCCCCUGGAAAAGAAAAAAAAGAGGAAAAAAAAAAAAAAGAAAAGAAAACGCCGCGUGACACCGCUGCACAAACGCACGGCAUCGGCUGUGUCUCACACGGCGGGGAGAUGAAGAUGCAGUCUUUUCCGUGUGGGGGGGCUGAAUAGGAGAGUUAAAGAUUGUUAAGGGCUGAAGGGUGACCGUUGACCGUUGCCCUUCAAAGUCCGCGUGAAUGCCGUGGUGCAGAAAUCCCACCUUGGCAGAAGGGCUUUGUGUUUUUACAGGAGGCAGUGAUGGCAAGCUGCACCCAGCGGGGGUAACGAUUGUUAUUUCUGAGGGAUGCGCAGCCCUAAGCGUUUGGUGGUCAUCCAGGGGUUACGCGUUGUCGCUGCUGACAACCUUGAAAAAUUCCCAACUUUUUUAAGACAAGAAAUCAGUUGAGAAUAAUUCCAUGUCAUAAAAUGCUUUGAAUUUGCUAAACUAACACCCUUUACAGGAAGAAAAAAAGAAACAACAAGAUCACGAGGCUGAAAGAGGUCAGGAGGUCAUCUAUGUCCUCCCCCUCCUUGAAAGCAGGACGCUCAACGCCUAUCUCACUGCUAAGACAUUGGUCUAACCUGUUCUUAAUGACCUGUGAUGAAGACAUCACAGCCUCCCAGGUCCCUGGGCCUGUGGGCUUUCUCCACUUGGUGAAGGAGAAAGUGUUUUUGACACUGAACAUCCUGCUUUGUCUGAGACCUUACGCUACUCCAUUUGCCAUGCAUACCAUGUGUCUCUGUGCAUCCCAGUGUGCCCAUCCCCAACAAGAUGGCAUUUCUCUUGUCAGAGGUCAGACCUGCCACUCUAACUUAAGGUAUAGAAUCACAGAAUCAUUAAGGUUGGAAAAGACCUCCAAGAUCAUGUAGUCCAACUGUCCAUCUACCACCAGUGUUGCCCACUAAACCAUGUCACUAAGUAUUACAAUUAGGUCCUCAAAUUUAAUAAUGUAUCUUAGUAUAUCUAUAUACACACAUAUACAUAUAUAUUAUAGUACAGAUUAUAUUGACACAGCACUUCAACUGAAGAGCUCUCCCACUUAUUGCUUCAUAAAAUAUUAAAAGAAAAUACUAAAAAAUAUUAUUAAAAAAUCUGGUGGUCUUUUAAAGACAAGUGUCUGUACAUUUCAGCAAACUCCAAGCAUAAAAUGAAAGCAGAGUAAACUACACUGGGGAAGUUUGUGUGUAGAUCUGCCGAAUUUUCCAAAGAUAAGUGCUCUUACAUUAGUUUCUCCUUCGUCAGUAUUUUGACAAGUCAACAUAACAACAUCACUCUUUCACUACAGAAAAGUCUCAGUAUUAUCUCACUGGUAGCUUUAUGCCAAACAAUAUGAUAUGUAAAAACAAACAAACAUCCAGAGCUGGAGAAAGAUACUGUGUUUCCUAAGAGACUGAGAUGGUUGCAUUUGCUUGAGUUUUACACAUACAUAUAUAUAUUUUUAAACAUGUCACACACAGCUAACUAUAGGUUCAAACUGGGAGCUGUA
rnacentral:lncRNA from 1 species